GAUGAACGCUGGCGGCGUGCCUAAUACAUGCAAGUCGAGCGAACAGACGAGGAGCUUGCUCCUCUGACGUUAGCGGCGGACGGGUGAGUAACACGUGGAUAACCUACCUAUAAGACUGGGAUAACUUCGGGAAACCGGAGCUAAUACCGGAUAAUAUAUUGAACCGCAUGGUUCAAUAGUGAAAGACGGUUUUGCUGUCACUUAUAGAUGGAUCCGCGCCGCAUUAGCUAGUUGGUAAGGUAACGGCUUACCAAGGCAACGAUGCGUAGCCGACCUGAGAGGGUGAUCGGCCACACUGGAACUGAGACACGGUCCAGACUCCUACGGGAGGCAGCAGUAGGGAAUCUUCCGCAAUGGGCGAAAGCCUGACGGAGCAACGCCGCGGGAGUGAUGAAGGGCUUCGGAUCGUAAAACUCUGUUAUUAGGGAAGAACAAAUGUGUAAGUAACGAUGCACGUCUUGACGGUACCUAAGCAGAAAGCCACGGCUAACUACGU
rnacentral:rRNA from 1 species